AUUGCUUUGGCUUUGACACCAGACAUGGAGAUGCAGAUUUUGGAGUUUGCUCAGGUUGAUUUUCAUCUUGUUUCAUCCAGUGUUUUCUUACCAUGACAUUUUGGAAUGAUAAUGUAUAUCCUGCAUGAUAUUGGGGAAUCCCACCUUAACAGGAAGCUGCGGCUGGACAAUGUAGGAUUCUUUGGGGUGAGUUCCAAAAACUGAAGACCAUUGGGAGGAUAGAGAAAGAGGGCAUAGGAAUCACAUUCAUCGGAUGCCAGAACGGCCUGGAAAGUGUUCACCUGUGGACAAAAAGGAAUUGCAGACACCCUUAAACAAAGAAAUAAACAAAAGAAGAAAAUCAGAACACAGAUGAAGAAAGAGACCCAGGGACUGAAUGAUUAAUGGUGGAAGCCAGCCAGACCCAACAGUUCAUCAGCUGCAAUAGACAGUCAUCUGAACUCUACCAAACAAGCCAUACCUGGACACCUGCUCUGACCCAAUCUCCCUUCCCAGGAUCAGCUCCACUAAGCCCUCUACACAGUGUUUAAGGGUCCCCACUCCUACUAAGUGCUUUGAUGCUGUGUCCAUAUUUCCCUGCACCAAGAAAAUCCUAACCAACAAGCACUGCCUCCUGGGGAUCGAGGACUAUGAUUCCCUGUGGAACCCCUUCCAUCCUUCGGCAUCCACUAUGUUGGUUUUCCAGUAAUGUAUUUGGCUCCUGUUGGUUGUCUGAUUUGGCUUUGGCCUCCACUCACUAAUUCAUCUGAAUAUUAAUUCAUCGGGGUUGGGUACCUGCUAAACCACAUUAUGUUUGAUGCUGCAGUCAGGACAGAGCCAAAAAACUAGGCCCCAAGAGCCUGAAUUAUAGGAGAGAGAAACAGCCUGGACUGGAAUUUUAGGAGAGUGACUGGGGACAGACAUGGUGGCAGAGGCCACAGAAAAAGGAGAGUGUCCAAGACAUCAGAGUUGGGUAGGGUAGCAUCACAGUGGCAGCCAAUGAAUGAAGAGAAACACUGUGGGAGCCAAAGCAGACCUAGAUGAGAGUUGGAGUCUGAAUUAACACCAGGGUGACUGUGCAAUUACUUCCUGAUAUUUCAUUUACUGAGUUUCAAAGGGACCUUUUCUGCCACUACCACCUUCUUCCACCAAAGAAUUAGUUAAGGGAUGCUCCACUGUCUUAGACUCUGUAGUUGGCUUUUCUCACUAGAUCAUAUAUGCUUUACAAUUUAAUAGGGAACUGGGGAGACAUUUCUCUUACGAAUACUCGCUUUAUAAAGAAGGUGGAUGACAAGAAUAAAAAGAAAUCACUUAUUGGUA